UACGUAGGGUGCAAGCGUUAAUCGGAAUUACUGGGCGUAAAGCGUGCGCAGGCGGUUUCGUAAGACAGAGGUGAAAUCCCCGGGCUCAACCUGGGAACUGCCUUUGUGACUGCGAGGCUAGAGUACGGCAGAGGGGGGUGGAAUUCCACGUGUAGCAGUGAAAUGCGUAGAGAUGUGGAGGAACACCGAUGGCGAAGGCAGCCCCCUGGGCCGAUACUGACGCUCAUGCACGAAAGCGUGGGUAGCAAAC
rnacentral:rRNA from 1 species